AUUGAACGCUGGCGGCAGGCCUAACACAUGCAAGUCGAGCGGAUGAAGGGAGCUUGCUCCUGGAUUCAGCGGCGGACGGGUGAGUAAUGCCUAGGAAUCUGCCUGGUAGUGGGGGAUAACGUCCGGAAACGGGCGCUAAUACCGCAUACGUCCUGAGGGAGAAAGUGGGGGAUCUUCGGACCUCACGCUAUCAGAUGAGCCUAGGUCGGAUUAGCUAGUUGGUGGGGUAAAGGCCUACCAAGGCGACGAUCCGUAACUGGUCUGAGAGGAUGAUCAGUCACACUGGAGCUGAGACACGGUCCAGACUCCUACGGGAGGCAGCAGUGGGGAAUAUUGGACAAUGGGCGAAAGCCUGAUCCAGCCAUGCCGCGUGUGUGAAGAAGGUCUUCGGAUUGUAAAGCACUUUAAGUUGGGAGGAAGGGCAGUAAGUUAAUACCUUGCUGUUUUGACGUUACCAACAGGAUAAGCACCGGCUAACUUCGUG
rnacentral:rRNA from 1 species